rnacentral:tRNA from 1 species
CUUUUAAAGGAUAGAAGUAAUCCACUGGUUUUAGAACCCACCCACCCU